GGGGGGGGGGGGGGGUAGUGGUCAGAGCAAGCAAAACAGUUGAGAAUUAUGAGGAAGCAAUGCAUUUAACUGUCAAAGGAGAGCAAGAUGAGAUUUUCUAUAAAGAAACACCAGUAAAACGUACAGAAUGACAUCUGGGACGUCAAAUUCACACCACUCAAAUUCAGCACAGGAGCUUGAAAAAGAAAGGAAACAGAGGAGCAGCAUGUAAAUAAAUCAUACAGAUUGGAAAGGAAGGAUCUACAAAACCCAAUUCCAUUGAAGUUGGGAAAUUGUGAUAAACAUUAAUAAAAAUGGAAUGCAAUGAUUUGCAAAUCCU